ACUGACAAGAGUGUAAUGAUGAUGGAGACACAAGCCAGAGAAAGGGGGACCAAACACCAGGCCAGAAUUCUGCAUGAGUCAGAUCCAGUGGGUGCAGAUCAUCAUACAGAUGGUUCAAGUGUGGAUCCACCUAAUAUUCAAGAUUUUCUGUCCUGGGACACUCGGCUGACCAUCAAGAAAGAACACACUCCAGUGGGCAUCCUUUAUCCAUCCAGACCCUCAUACAGAUGGUUGGAGUUUUGAUUCACCUAAAGUACCAUGCAAGAGCACUCAUUUUCCCUCUUGAGACCAUGGUGUGACCUGCAAGGUCGAAUGGAGACUGUAAGCGAGACAAUCUUGGAGUCACCUGCAUUGACUGGUCCAGUUGUUAGUCCAAUUACAGAUGGAGAUUAUAGAAGAGGAUGAUGUCUUUUCUCCAACAUCUUUCUAGACUGAUAAAAGAUCUAGACAGGCUUGA